UUUGAUUUGUCUCCGUUUUCAACCGGCAGGGAAAAUGCCUCAAAAAAGACGUUUGUUUCUCUGUUCAGAGCAGUAGCUUUGAUGAGUAUAAGAAGUCAUUCUUCUGCAGAAUUUUACAAAACCAAAGUGGUUCAACAAGGUGGAUUCAUCAGCCUUAGAAGACUAUUUGUAUAUGGGCCAAGAUUCAUCCUAGAAAUUUACUGAGCUUGUGUAUAGCAAUGAAGUUUUGAUAUAAUUCUCCACGGACAUGCCCAGAAAACAGAAAAGAAGAAGUAAGAGAGCAGACAUACCUUUCUCUCCUCCAAGUGGAGCACUUGAAUCAUAGAGAAGUUAACCUACUGACUAUAACCAAGGAGGAAGGAAUGAAUAUCAACACAACAGGAAAGUAAACAAGUGAAGAUGGAGAGGAAGAGGGCUCCAAGAAGAGAAAAGAUAUGUUAAAGGAUCUUCCUAUCAGCUGAUGAAAUGGAUCAUCGCACCCAGCAACAAGUUCGACCCUUCUUCCACUAUUACUGCAGUCAAAAUCCAAGAUAUCCCUGCCCAGUUCAAAUGUAACCUUAUAAGAGAGACCAUCUUUGUCUAUUCAACUAAAAUAAACU